rnacentral:rRNA from 1 species
UACGUAGGGGGCAAGCGUUGUUCGGAAUUACUGGGCGUAAAGGGCGCGUAGGCGGCACAGCAAGUCGGGAGUGAAAGCCCGGGGCUCAACCCCGGAAUGGCUUUCGAAACUGCUGAGCUAGAGUACAGAAGGGGCAACCGGAAUUCCCAGUGUAGCGGUGAAAUGCGUAGAUAUUGGGAAGAACACCUGAGGCGAAGGCGGGUUGCUGGGCUGAUACUGACGCUGAGGCGCGAAAGCCCAGGGGAGCAAACAGG